GCAAUGAAGACAAUUCUGAUUUUUAUCAGCAGUGAGAAACACACACUAAUACCUUUAAGAAGUUCUGAGCUC